rnacentral:misc_RNA from 1 species
AAGCCGUAACAAGGUUUCCGUAGGUGAACCUGCGGAAGGAUCAUUACCGUGGAGCUUCGGCUCCAUUGAGAUAGCACCCUUUGUUUAUGAGUACCCUUGUUUCCUCGGCGGGCUCGCCCGCCAGUAGGACAUUAUAAAACCCCGUUUGUAGUAGCAGUAACUACAGUUAAAAAGCAAAUAUUAAAA